AUGAGGUCUUCGAACCGAGAACCCUUCGGCUGGCCACCCUCCAUCCUCUCGCCUAUUUCUGUCCCCCACCCCACCCUUGAGAGCUGGGUAUGGGGUCCUCUGGGUGGACAGCAGAGGCAAAGGCCGCCCUCGGAGACCUUCCUCCAGUUCCUCCUCCAGCACUGCAGCCCCACACAGCUGCCCGCCAGUGGGCGAAAGCCUGGGAGGGGCUUUCCCAGAGGCGAGGAGCGGCUCGGCCCCUGCCCCUUAGAGCUUCGCGCUUCCGCCCGGCCUGGCAUGCAGGGCUAGUGCACUCCAUUAGAUGGCCUUGAAGGAAAGACUUCGGAAUUGGGAACCAAGCUAAGAAAGCUAUUUUCUAAGGAGCCAGCAAUGAAGAAAAACAAUCUAGAAGAAGUCUUCUUUUAUUAACCUUCGAAUAACUCAGGGGGAGGAGCAAGGAGGAGAAUGCCCAGAAAAUUACCUCAGCUGCAGCUUCUCCACAUGCCAGGACCUGGCAUAUGGAGCAGACCCCCCUACACCACUCCUUUACUAGCAGCGCUGGACCCAGAACCCCGAAAGCUGCCUCCUCCCCAGUCAUAACCUCACGUUAGCCCAUUUUUAAUGGAAAUCUGU